UGGGGAAUCUUGGACAAUGGGCGCAAGCCUGAUCCAGCCAUGCCGCGUGAGUGAAGAGGGCCUUCGGGUUGUAAAGCUCUUUUACCAGGGACGAUAAUGACGGUACCCGCAGAAUAAGCCCCGGCUAACUUCGUGCCAGCAGCCGCGGUAAUACGAAGGGGGCUAGCGUUGUUCGGAAUUACUGGGCGUAAAGCGCACGUAGGCGGACUGAUAAGUCAGGGGUGAAAUCCCGGGGCUCAACCUCGGAACUGCCUUUGAUACUGUUAGUCUCGAGUCCGGAAGAGGUGAGUGGAAUUCCUAGUGUAGAGGUGAAAUUCGUAGAUAUUAGGAAGAACACCAGUGGCGAAGGCGGCUCACUGGUCCGGUACUGACGCUGAGGUGCGAAAGCGUGGGGAGCAAACAGGAUUAGAUACCCUUGUAGUCCCUGAGCGGGCUGGCAAGGCGCAU
rnacentral:rRNA from 1 species